CCUACGGGGUGCAGCAGUGAGGAAUAUUGGGCAAUGGACGAGAGUCUGAACCAGCCAAGUAGCGUGAAGGAUGACGGCCCUAUGGGUUGUAAACUUCUUUUAUAUGGGAAUAAAAUGUUCCAAGUGUGGGAUUGUGUAUGUACCAUAUGAAUAAGGAUCGGCUAACUCCGUGCCAGCAGCAGCGGUAAUACGGAGGAUCCGAGCGUUAUCCGGAUUUACUGGGGUUAAAGGGAGCGUAGGUGGAUUGUUAAGUCAGUGGUGAAAGUUUGCGGCUCAACCGUAAAAUUGCAGUUGAAACUGGCAGUCUUGAGUACAGUAGAGGUGGGCGGAAUUCGUGGUGUAGCGGUGAAAUGCUUAGAUAUCACGAAGAACUCCGAGUGCGAAGGCAGUUCACUGGACUGCAACUGACACUGAGGCUCGAAAGUGUGGGUAUCAAACAGGAUUAGAUACCCGUGUAGUC
rnacentral:rRNA from 1 species